AUUAUUCAUUUAUUUGAAUUUCAUAGGAAUAAACGCACUAUUUUUAAUAAUAUCAUUAUUUUAGUUUUAAUACGGUCACCUCCAGUCAAGUUGUCAAGUCACCAAAGUUGUUUUAAUUUCUUCACAAGUAAAUACGGAAUAGCGAUCUUAUUGUCUUUAUAGUGCCAACUCGUCUCAUAGUCCAUCCCCUAGUAAUUUUCGGGUAUAAUAGCGCAUAUGGAAGAAGAAUAUGAAUCUGUUAGAACGAUAAUUACUUACGAGAGGGCCAUACCAUCUCCGGACAUGGAUGGAAUAUAUCCAUGGCCUUUACAAAAUGGGUUACAUGUACUAACUCCACAUGAAUAGUCUGACUAUCGUCAGACUAGCAGCACUUCCCUUGCUCAGGGCUACGUCCCAAAGAAUGAUGUGAGGAAAAAGCGACUACAUAAACCACAAAUCGUACGGACCAUUCAGCCUUCUACUUAAGACAAUGGAGAGGCUGAUUGACUGAUAUCUUAGAGAGGGCAUCUUGGUCAAAAGACUACUGCAGAAGCAAAUCCAUCGACCUGGUACUACACUAUCUCAUGAAAAAGAUAUAGGGUGAUGCUCUAAAUGGUCAUGCUCUCACAGCGUGGUGUAUCUGCCUAGCCUAACAGCGAGGUUGUCAAAACGUUGGCAGCUAGGAGCUGCCCGCAAGGAGGAGUAUUAUUCCUAACCUUGUAGUGCCUAGUGGUCAAGUCAGCUUGAUCGAAUAUUUAAACAAUGCUGACCUGCGCUGAUAGUCUGAUAUUCCCAUGUCCGGAGAAAGACGCCGCCAAAAUGCAAGGCCCGGUGAUAAGGGCUCUGUAUUUGAUGAUGAGGUGCCUCUCGAGGAUCAAUGCCAAAAAAAGCAGAGCUCACAAGGAGACAUUGUAAUACCUCAGGAUAGUUAUCGUUAGUAGUUAUCCUUUAUCGAAGUCAUAACCUUAUUGAGAUUAAACAUAAAUGGUAAUAUUAAACCAUAUGCUUAUGACACAGUAUUAAUCUUUUAGGAACUUCAUGGGAUGAGGUCAACAGGAACGCAAUACAUAAGAUGGAUGUACUAAAACAAUGGCUAGUUUUAAAUAAACUGUCAUUAAAUGUUACAAACACAAAUUUUAGUCAUUUCCCUACAGGAACAAUUGCUAAUGCGCUAAAUUUUUCGAAAAAAUUCGAGAACUAUAAUAUCGAUCCUAUAAUAUCGGCUGAAUUUUAUCAAUUUAAUUUGAACUUAUUAAAAAUUAGUCAGAAUUAUAUUUUAAAAAUAAUCGACACGGAAAGCAGACCAUAUCCUACUAGUGAAUUAUAAAAUAACGAAAUCUUCUAUACAGCUGCUCAUUUACUCAAAAGAACAAAAAUAUCCGCAUAAAUGUAUAAAACAAGACCACAAUAUAAGACAGAUAGAUAUCUAACAACUUUCUUGGUAUACCUGUUAAAAAGAAUCGAACAAUUCUCCUUAGAUUUUUUAUUUAUGUAUUUUUGCCAAUUAUGAUAAGAUUAAUAAAUAUCUUAAAACUGUUUAUUAAAAGGUCUAUCUUUUUAAAAAUUAUUUCCUUUAAGGAAUAUUAUUUUAGUUUGUUAGAUAUUUUACCAAUUUUACCAUAAAGAA
rnacentral:lncRNA from 1 species